rnacentral:misc_RNA from 1 species
GAUGAAGAACGUAGCGAAAUGCGAUAAGUAAUGUGAAUUGCAGAAUUCAGUUAAUCAUCGAAUCUUUGAACGCACAUUGCGCCCGCCAGCAUUCUGGCGGGCAUGCCUGUUCGAGCGUCAUUUCAACCCUCAAGCUCUGCUUGGUGUUGGGGCCCUACGGUUGACGUAGGCCCUUAAAGGUAGUGGCGGACCCUCUCGGAGCCUCCUUUGCGUAGUAACUAACGUCUCGCAUUGGGAUUCGGAGGGACUCUUGCCGUAAAACCCCCAAAUUUUCUAAUGGUUGACCUCGGAUCAGGUAGGAAUACCCGCUGAACUUAAGCAUAUCAAUAAGCGGAGGA